AUUCUACGUUCAUAAUUGAUAGUUCGUUAUGAAGCUUGUGUGAAAUUUCCUCGUUUUCAGAUUGGAACCAUAUUCCGAUUCCAGUUCCUGUUUCAGAUUUUGAUCCAUCUGUGUAGACUUUGUUGUGGUUCUUGUAUUUUUCUGCUAUAUGGUUUAUUGUAAGAAUUUUGGCUGUAUUUUCGUUCAUUGAGUUCUUAUAACCUGUUAUUUGUGUGUAGAUUUUUGGGUUUUCUAGUCUGUUCAUUUGGUUCUUUAUAUCUGGGGUGAUGGAUGACUGAUCUGUUUGUACUAGGAGGUAAUUGUUUUUCUAGGCGUGUAAAUACAGUGACGAUGAUGGAUGAUGAUGACAUUUAUCAUUCUCUAUCAUAUCCCUGUCAGGAACGUUUGCUCAAUCGGGCCGAUUGCAAAACAGACAUGGCGGCACUCGAAUUCUAGCGGUUAGAAUUCGGUCAGUUUUCGGCUCGAUUUCCAUCCGCCUGCUCGAUUGCUCGAAAACAGACGAUAUUUUUCGCAGUGCUGCGAUGAACAAAACGAAACACGAGCAGUUUUCAAUCGCAGCAAUCCGGGUGCGUGAUUGUUGUGAAUUGUGUUGUGGAAUUUGGUCGCAGUUCUGUUUCUGCCUUUUCCGUUGCUGUUCAAAAAUGCUUUGAGCGGAAGAAGCCAUGUCCGCCAAUCAUUUAAUCAUAAGCAAGAAAACAUCAAAAUGUCCCGGGUGUACGGGCUUUGGUGGAAUGUCAUCCCGGACAACGGAUCCGGAUCCCGUACCCACUCAGAGGUGGCAUCACAUGGAUUAGUUUUAAUUAGUUUUUGGUGUGAAACUUCAAAGUGGAAAGCAAGAAAACAUCGACCCAUGCAAACAAAGCUUCCAAAGAAAUGUCCACACGGUACGGAUUCUGGUGGAAUGUCAUCCUGGACAUCGUAUCCGGAUCCGGAUCCCGGAUACGCUUCACUUAAUUUUAAUCGGUUUUCGGUGUGAUAGUUCAAAGUGAAAAGCAGGUGAGUACCGUUGUCACCAUUAUUUACUAUUUACUUAUUAAACUGACCUUUCUCAAGAUUUAAAUUUUAAUUCUUGUGGAUUUUUGGCUCAUUUUUGAGUUUAUGGGAUGAAUCAUCCAAUACGAUAAAAAUCUCUUCAAAAUUACAAAUAAACAAACUCGACUUUUAGUUUCGUGACAUGGCUCGCACAAAGUAAGUUGUAACAAAACCUACCGGAGGAAACGCAUCUUGUAAUUGGCUACCAAAGCCACCCGUUCGAAAAGUGGCCCGUUCGUUCAAAAUAUCAUUGGGGAUGUAUAUUUGCUGACACUGAUCCAACCAAAAACAAAACAAUCAUAAAAACAAAAAUAAAACAAAUUUGUGUCUUGGAAAAUUUUCCAGUUUUUAUUUAAUCGUUUGAUCAAACUGUGUAAGAGAUUGUUCCGAGUUUUAUCCCGGUAGUGUCUUUUCGUCGGUGAUAGCUGGAAGUAAAUGAGGACUGCAAGCUUCCAAAAGUUUUACUACGUUGAAACUCAUCACAGACCAUUCGAAAAAGUCUGUAUCGAUGGAUUGGACGCCGAGAAAACAACCGGAUGCGGGUGAUCGUAGUUCGGAUUCAAGAUUAUUUUUGAUUUAGAAGUAAAAUCAGAAAAAAAAUCGCUUCCUGCUGUGCAAAAUUCUAGUUUAGCUUAUUGUCUUAGUUUUAUUCAUGCUUUGAUUAAUUGAAUUUCUACGAUCCGGUUACAAUUUACAGGUGGCCACGAAGAAAAACAAGUUCAACCAAUUAUUGCAUACUUUUUUCACUAAAUCGGUUGUUCUUGGAAAACAUGUAUCAAACUAUGGUUUAAAAGUACCAUCGGAAGGGAUCCCGCAAAUUUCUUUGCAGGUUUGUAUCCUUAUUUCUUUAUAACGAAAUAAUAACAUAAAUAAAAAAACAUAAAUAAAAUAACAUUUCAUUUCAGGAAUCCAAGAAGUCGGCCCGAGACUUAAAAACUUGAAAUCGAAUUGACUGCUCCAUUCAAGCGUUCUUCGGUUGAGAAAACUCCUUGAGUUCAAUUUAUAACAGCUGCGGGAUUGCACUCGCUACAGUGUUUUAAUCACAAUUGUGAUCUUCGUCUGGGACAUCAUGUGAACGAACAGUUUUGAAGAUUGAAUCAAAUGGAAAUCCCGGAAUCUAGAAUCGCUACCUGUUGGUAAUGAAAUGGGUGAGUUUGCUUUUCUAAUGUUAUUGUGUUUAUCAUGAUUUUAUUUUGUUUAAUUGCACACAAUCACUAUAAAAACUACACCUGGUUUUGACACUAUUCAAUCCUAACUUUAAAACAGAUUCUACUGAUAAGCAGCUUGAACUUCAAAUUAUAAAUAAUUGUAUUUAAACGAAUGCACCUUGAAUAAGUUUGUAAAAUAUAGUUUUGUGUGAUUAUUCUUUAUGUUUUACAGACGAAUAAGUGCCUAAACUCUUUUUGUGUUCCUUUUUUGCAGCAAUUUCAUGAGACAAGCAUGGCCCAGUGGCAUACAACAUAGAAUUUUCGUUCGAGGUGGUCGCCCUGGUCGUUGACUUUGGGCAUCAUCUGCACAUGCUGCUGUGGGCAAAUGUGUUCCUUUCGUUGGCCAGCCUGGUGAUCAUCGUGCAGUUCCGCUGUCUGAACAACGAGAUACAAAGGGAGUUCAAGAAGCACCGUAACUACCCGUGGGUGCUAGACUACAUGGAAAAUAGCUGUCCCCUAGCGACGGCCGAAGAUCUGAAUUCUGACAACGGUGUCAUAUGCUCAGGGCUAGAAGCGACCAUGCGGUAAAAAAGUAGGGCAAAAUAGUUACUUACAAGUGAAAUUAGGGUAAAAUUAGUGACCAGAUCAAGACGAAACCUUACUCAAAAAUGACUUCGAAUACUAAAAUGAAAGGCUUUAAAGACAAUUCUGUUUAUUGAAAAAAAUUUAUUGAAAGGCCUUUGGCCUCACUAGUAGAAAAGCAAUAUAUUGGACAAAAGAGGAACAAUGGGGAGGAAAGCAAAAGAUUGUACCCAGAUGAAUGAUUUUGAAAAUUCACUCUAUAGUGUAUACACCCAACUCAGGUUUUUUUCAAUGUCACUAAAACGGUUGAAAAAGUCUAAAAUUAUAUUAAAAAAAGUUAACAAUUCUUCAUAAAUUUACAAAAACCAAAAUUUUAAACAAAAUUGUUAUACUUAUGUGAGAAAUCUACAAAUACAAAUGAAAAACCAGCACAUGUUAAACGAAAAGUUUAAAGAAUUUACAUGAAGUUAUGUUAAGAUUUACAUUUGCAGAAAUUUCAUGUCAUGAAAGUCUUUAUUUUCUAAUUCAGUGUUUAGGAAGCAAGUUACAGAGUUUUACAUUUCACCCAACGUUUCGGCCUUUGAUCUUGGCAAUCUUCAAGGGAUAAUUUGCAUUUUACUGUAUGUGUUUCUGAGUGUAUAUCCACUGUGUGAAGAGAAUUUCUGUCGGAUUUUAACCUGUUUUAAUGAUUUUUUAAUCGCCGAGGUCGUAAUUGAAUAAAAACUGUUGGAUUUGGUUUGGACACUUUUCUUGUAGCUUGUUUACUUGUAAACCUCUUAAAUCCGGAUUUACCGAUUUCUUUGUCCAUACUUCUUAACCAGUUGAUCAAAAAAAUUCAGAAAAAUUAACAGUUGAUGAGUUUUAAAGUCGACAAUUAAUUUUACCAUGUUUUAUUGCAUCGUUAAUUCCUUAAAAACACGUAAAUUCAAAAAUCUGAAAAAAUAGGCAAGAUAGUCUAUUUCUUAACCAACACAACGCUGCUAAAGUUUUGCAUAUCCUAGUUCUAGUAACGUAGCUAUCACCGAAAUUAAGUGCCCGGAUACUGAAUAAUCAUAGCUUUAGUAUAAUACAUAUUAUUCCUUGAAGAAGGCCAAGAUCAAAGGCUGAAACGUCGGGCAGAUUGUUAAACUCUGUAAUUUGCUUCCUAGAUACUGAAAUGCCAAUUAGAAAGUGAAAGAGUCAUGAAAUUAAAAAUUGGGAGGUCCUCUUAAAAACAAUGAAACGACAGAAUGAUGACAGAAAAUUGACAAUGAUUCAAAGAAGCUUAGCGAAAAAUUGUCUUGUAAUUCAAGAUAAUAACACAAAAAAGGCUAAAAAAAAUUACGAGACUAAUGUUCAAGGUAGAAUUUAAAAUUUCAAAUUUAAACUAAUUCAAAGAAAAUUAAACUACAUAAAUGCAUCAUUUCCAAAGAGAUUUACUGCAAACUUUAUUGCAUGAUUCACAUAUCAAUUAUUUGAAAAAUUUACUAGAAAAUAAAUUAGGUUCAAAAAGGUAGGAACUAAAAAAAAAUAUUCAUAAAUGAUUUAACACGACGAUUUCUUGAAAAAAUUAACAGAUCCAAGAAACACCUCAGGAAUACUGUAGAAAAUACAUCAGUAAACCUCUAAAAAGGUACAGAAAUGACUGAAAGGUAUCGAAAAUUUCAAAUAGGUUUUGAAAUCUUAAAUUUAUAUCUACAAAUCUUUCAAAGGAUUCGAAAAUGUCUAGAAAUAAGGAACUUAGAAAUGAAGUAAAUGAUGUUUUAGAUUAAAUUGAGUUGCUUUUUUUAAUUCACACGACCUGAAUUGGGAUAAUGGCUCAGAUUCAGUUAGGAAGAUAGUUGUUUUGUUUUGCUUUGGUAUAUUGCUUACACUUAAUCAUUGUUUGGAUUAAAAUUUGAAUUUGAACAAAAAAAGUUUUUCCAAAAAAAAAAUAUGUUGUUUUUAGUUUAUUUGUGACACUUUAACAACGUUUUAGCAUUUUAUAUUUCCUAUAGAGACAAAGCAAAACAAAACAACUAUCUUCCUAACUGAAUCUGAGCCAUUCUCCCAAUUCAGGUCGUGUGAAUUAAAAAAAGGAAAGGGAAGAAAAGGUGCCCAUCAAAUAUAUAAUAAACGAAUAAACUAAUAAUAAACUAAUAAAUACAUACUGCGUGCCUUGAAAAAAAAAUAUAAUGUUUUUAAUAAACAGAUGAAAAAGUUAAAAAAUAGGCUCAGUUGUAAGGAAAUUAUUAGAAAAAUAGUGACUUUAGUGACCAAAUUUCAGAAAAAGUAACUUGUGAGUGACCAGCCUGAAAAAAGUGACAAAGUUACUAAAAAGUGACCAACUUCUAGCCCUGUAUGCUGGGAGAAGAUGGAAACCGCCCGGAAGCUGCCCUGUUCGCAUCUGUUUCAUAACUCAUGCCUUCAAUCUUGGUUGGAACGGGACACCAGUUGGCUUACGUGUCAGCUCGGGUUAAGCGUUAACAAUGCCAAUGUGGCCAAUAUUUUGCAGAAUGAAAUCCGCAUCGAUGACCCGGAACCGGUUGACGGUUUGGAUCGGGACGAACGGUAAUCCGGUUUCUUGGAAAACGGCGGCUGAAAAUCAUACCUAGCAAGUCAGGAUCAUGGCCCGGCACGUCCAGGAGAUGUUCCCCCGAUUUCCAAUGUCUACGGUCAUUGCCGAUCUGAGCAUAUCGCGAUCGAUCGAAGUCACAAUUGAUCCUGGAAGGGCGCAUUCCAGCCAGCAUUCUCGUCAGCAGCAUUCAACAUCAUUAUCGGUGGCUUCCACGCCCAGCUCCGACAGUUCCUCCGCGCCGCUGCCAAAAGCUUUUCUCAAUAACAAAGGUAAUUAGAAACUUACAUAGGUAUUUAACUAUUAAAGUUCCUACAAAUAUGUUAGUUUAUUGUUUUGAUAUUCCAUAAUAUUAUGUUUUACAUUUCAGCCAAUCGAUUCCAAUGAUAACGCAUUUUGGGAACAGUUCUGGUGCGAGCAUAGCUCUCCAGUUCAAGAUGUGUUUGCGCUGAUUCCAUCGAAUGAGAUACGGAAAGUUCAGGAUGUUAUGCCAGCGAAUUUGGCAACUUAAUGCUACAAAGCAACAGAACGAUUGGUCCGAGCGGUGGACAACAGUUGUCGUACCCAGGGGAAACAGCAAACGGUGCUAAACUCUAUCCGUUUGCUUAAUCGAACAUUGCCAUGUAUUUUUGAGGAUGUGCAGUGGAAAGAUUUCUUCUGGUCUUCACUUCUGGCUAAUGAUAAAGAAAACGGAGACACUCCAUUGGCGUAUGUUGAAUGCCAUAGGCGACUUAUUGUUCUGUCCCGAAUUUAUAUUUGUGGGAUUGUGAAAAUCGGGUCGGAAAAAGUCGAAGAACUCAAUUUUAUCGAUAGUUGCGAAUACAUAUAGGAAGCAGGCGUAGGAUUUGCUCAGUCGCCUCCCAGGAAUGGAAACAUGGAUGCUCGUCGUACCGAACUUGAUUGAUGCUAACUUGUUUUAGCGAAAUAAUGUAUCGAGCGCGAAUAUGCGUGACGAGCGCAAGAAAUGGAUUGUACAUUUUACAAGUGCUGGCAACCGACAUGCAUUUCCUUUGUCCACUUCACUCCUCAACACGGUUUGCGCUUAAGAUACAGUUGGCAUGGGAGUGCCCUACAAUCAUCUGCUGUUUACCGACACGUUGGAACCGCUGGUGGAAGUUUGCUUGCAGAACCUUAUUGUGAUACUUGAUUAAGACAUCUCGAGCAACACGCCUACCCAAACCACGUCCUAUUCACAUGACAAGGUAUGUAACGAGGUUGCUGAUUUGAUUUUUCCUUUGAUUUAAAAUUUUUAUAAGGUACACCGGGGUAAGUGGGGACGAUGGCUAUUAAAACAAUACUGUAAACUCUUUUUUCAAACUUUUGAUGCAGAAUGUUCAAUUUUCUUGUAAUUUAUCCAAUAACUGUGAAAAAGAUACGAUUACGACAAUAACGAAUCCGCACAGCGACUUUUGGGAAUUUUCUAUUUUCAUCUACGAUGUCGAGUUGAUUUGCAUCUUUUUCAAUUGCAAAUUUCUCGUAAACACAAAUACAACUGGCAAUUUUCAUAGAACUUAAAAUAACUUUUAGUAAAUUCCAACCUUUUUCAUUCUAGCAAGAAAGUAUCCGGCUGAUCCCAUCCGGAACUCACGGUUUCCACUUAAAGGUUUGGCAACCGUCUUCGGAAUGGGUUCAAUCCUGGCGCUCCAAGCUGCCACUGCAGACCAUAAUGCGGUUGUUUCAGGUUCCUGCAGCAUGGAACAUUAGUUGGUUUGCUGUCGGUACCGCAUCCGAUUUUGAUAAGAAAGUACCAAGCCAACCGUGGCCCGACCCCGAUAGCAAAAUUUGGAACACAGCGGAAGAUUUAAUCCAUCAGGUCCGUAACUUUGGCUCCAACACAAAUUGGAAGAAACAAAAAGAUCGAGCUCUGUACAGCAACAGCGAAGAUUAGCUGUCGAAAAUGUCGUCUGCGUAUUUCAGAUAUCAGUAUUUGAUCUGUUUGUGAAUCGUAUGCGUUUUCGUGUUUUCUGAGUAGCCGUUAUAGAGCAAUCUGGUUUCAACUGACCAGCAGUAUUUUAAACAACUUUUCGUUAUUCUGAGAUGACCCCACUAGCUGCCCUCCGACUUUGUUUGAAUCGCAACUUGUCCGUGUUCAUUUUAGUAUAAUGGAGCUUUAUUUAGUUUUCAAUAUUGGUAAAAAAUAAUUUUGAAUGCUGGGCUGGAGGAGGUCUAUUUUUUCAUGAUCCAUGUUGAUAAGAUGAAUGGGAGUUGAAACACUUGCCCUCUCUUCUGCAUAACAAUCGCAACAUCCGAUUGACAGGGAAAGUAUCACAAUUUGCCAUUAUAAUAGCUGAUACUUUCAAUAGGGCAUAAUUCUUGUGGCUGGGUGGUUAGUUAGUUGGUUUAGUUUAAUAGAAUUAAAAAAGAGAAAAAGUGUAAGAAGUAUUGCGAUGUUAGGUAAAGGUUAUGGUAUUCGCCUCCCCAAUGCUCUAGUAAGUUUGUAUUUGCGGUUUAUGAAUUUCGUUGGCUUAUUCUUUGAUCAAGCAUUUUACAAGAACUAGAGGCUCAUUAGAUGGGAACGGUCUUAUUGAAGAAUAUGAUAUUUUUUUGGUAAGACGCUUUUUGCUUUUUUUUUAAUUUAAUCAUUCACUUUUGGCAGAUCUUCACAUUUUUCGGUUAGGGAUGGAAAUAGAUAGUAAAAUGUAUGAUAUUGAAGAACAAUAAUGAGUAGGUAGUCCAGAUAACUGAUUUCGGGCAUUUAAAAAUAGGCACACGGUAUAUUUUAAUAGAACCCCUAAGUAGACUUAGUAUAGUUUGUCAGAUGAGGUUUAAGAAGAACAGCAUUGUGCAUUUCCUGAUCUGUUCCUGUUCUGUAUACGAUAUUUAAGCUAGAUUUAUUAUUAGUUUGGGCUAGGCUUCUUAUAUUAUAUUGAUAGAUAAUAUGAACUAAUAUCCUAUUUUUCUAUUCCUUUUUCUCUUUUUUGUAUUCCUUUUAAUGUUACCUUCGGAGGAUGACGAAAGAGCUUCGAGUGGAAAACUCGAACAACCUUCAAGCCAUCUCCUCACAACAUCAGACCCCGAAGAUGGUUUCGCAUGGUGUGGAAGUCAUCCCAAGGAUUUGAUCAACACCUGAAAUUAGACAAAUUGCUCAAAAAGAAGAAGCUUGCGCCAGACAUCGCAAUGUCUUAAGCAGGAGAGGCAGCAAAAGAAUCAAUUAGAAGAAAAAAACAUGAAAAAUAAAACAAAUGAAAUAAAAGUCUAUAGCUUUUUGUAAACAAACCGAAAAACCUGAAUGAUUGGCAACCAUGCUAAUCGGUCCAGAAACGGUUCGGAAAACCGUUCGGGUUCGGUCCGAAAUCGGUCCUUUUUUUUUAAUGGACGCUAUAGCAAUCGGCCCAGAAACGGUUCGAAAAUUAGUUCGGAUUCGGUCCGAAAUCGGUCCUUUUUUUCGGAUGGAUACUAUGGCAAUCGGCCCUGAAACGGUUCGAAAAAUCGUUCGGAUUCGGUCCGAAAUCGGUUCUUUUUUCGGAUGGACGCUAUGGCAAUCGGCCCAGAAACGGUUCGAAAACCGUUCAGAUUCGGCUGGAAAACGGUCCGCUUGUUUUGACAUUCGAUCUGCUCGAACUGGUUGAAAAAACUUAUCGUCGUCCGAAAAAGUGUUUCAUUUUCGCACGAUUUUCUACUAAAUUCGGCCCGAUUUCUUAUACGAUUUCGGACCGAUCGAGCAGAUGAACGGACAAAAAUCGGGCCGAUUUCGGGCGAUUUUUCCUGACUGGGAUGUUAUAAUCAUUCCCAAUAAACCAUUAAGCCCUGUUGUAAGCCGCAUAAUGGACAAAUAACAGCACUUCAGUGCCUAUUAGCCGUAAAUAAUGAUUUUUAAUGCCUAUAGGCACUGUUCGAAAGACGACGUUAAAAAGGCCGUAUAUUGGUUUUGAUAUGGUGCUUCAGGGCUUCAAAGCCCUGAAGAUCAAAUUGACAUCAGUAAAUGACAUCUGGGCCUUGGAGAAAAAUAAUAAUAUUAUUUAGAUAUGAAUCGAAAAGAAGAAGGACACAAAUGCUUCAUAAAGUUUUCACGAUCGGAUUGAGCAUUUUGUGUCGCUACGGUUCUAAAAUCCUGCGCAAAGUACAAAUUAAAUCGACGGAUGAAAGUGGAUGCGAGCCAGCAUCUGUCCGAAUGGAAUUCCCGAUACACCAGAACAUUUUCGUUUAAAACACCGGCAGCCCGAAAUUCGAACCCACCGAGCAAUUGGAGGAACAGCGGGAGCUUUCGAUGCAGAUUUCUGCAUGUUUUUUCGUGGUUUACUUGAAGUACUGUCUGGCAAUCCUCGGAGCGCGAUGAUGUUCUGGAACGGAUGUAUUUUUACGUGCUUUCACUUCCUCAGAUAAGCAUGCAGAGCUAUCAAGUGUUGACAAUAAAGUGUACAUUCAUUGUGUUCCUGUGAUCAAUAAAAAUGCUUAUUUAAUAUUUAUAAUUCUCAAUCUCUACGAUGCUUUCCUUUAAAUCGCAACUCAAAAAUAUUCAUUUAAGUAAGCCUUAUUUUAGCUUGUUGGCAUAAGAACGUAGGUGGAUCAUGCGGUAAAGUCACCAAACAAUACAUAUUCCUAAAAAUUAUAUGUUCGAUUCCAGUUCCUAUCCAACAGCUAUUGAAAAAAUACGAGUGUGAGGGAGAUAGAAAGAGGACAAAGAAAAAUAGCUUUGGGGGAAGAGGGCGACAAAACUCUUUUUUUUUUGUCUUUUCUUGCUGCGAAAAUAUUUUGACAGCUUUGCAUUGGCGUGAUCCAAAAGUGGGGUCAAGCCGUUAAUCGGCCGAAAUACACGCCAAAAGUGGCUUUAGAACAGCACUAUAGUCGAAUAUAGGGCUUUAUGAGCUUUUAAAGCAGGUUCUAUAUUAGAAUAUAAGGCUGAAUUAGGGCCAAUUUUAACGGCCUAAUGGUUACUUGGGUUAUCAUCAAAAAUUAUUUGUGGACUACACGCUCGUUUUUAUUUAACCAUAUAUUGGGAAUUCGGCCGUGACCUGUCCAAUCUGUGUAAAAUCUGUCGGAGUUCUACACGCUUUCCACUUUUCAGUCAACUUUUAUACGGAUAGCUGCGACUUAAAAACCACUGAAUACACUGACUGGACACUCGAUUUCGUUUUCUAGAUAAUUUUUCCAACAGUACGCAAUAUCGAUUCCAGAGUGCGCAUCGAUCGAUUUGAAGAAAUGCUAUCCCAGUUAGGAAAUGCCACCCAACUUAAAAAAAACAGGCAAUUUCUACGAUAAAAUCGGGCAUAACAGGUACAUUUUUCCUAAAUCCAAUUUGCAAUGAAAGGGAAUAAACGCAGCGUUCUUAGAUUGGCUUCGCAACCAUGACUGCGACUGCGACAUUUGUGCGCACUCGUACAUUAGGUACAUUCAGGGAUGCUAGGUGUUAAGGAUAAAACAAUCUGGGCAGUUUGAAAAAAAAAGUCUGUUACGUCUGUGCACAAGGAAGAUCACAAA